rnacentral:rRNA from 1 species
CCUACGGGAGGCAGCAGUCGAGAAUCAUUCACAAUGGGGGAAACCCUGAUGGUGCGACGCCGCGUGGGGGAAUGAAGGUCUUCGGAUUGUAAACCCCUGUCAUGUGGGAGCAAAUUAAAAAGAUAGUACCACAAGAGGAAGAGACGGCUAACUCUGUGCCAGCAGCCGCGGUAAUACAGAGGUCUCAAGCGUUGUUCGGAAUCACUGGGCGUAAGGCGUGCAUAGGCUGUUUCGUAAGUCGUGUGUGAAAGGCGCGGGCUCAACCCGCGGACGGCACAUGAUACUGCGAGACUAGAGUAAUGGAGGGGGAACCGGAAUUCUCGGUGUAGCAGUGAAAUGCGUAGAUAUCGAGAGGAACACUCGUGGCGAAGGCGGGUUCCUGGACAUUAACUGACGCUGAGGCACGAAGGCCAGGGGAGCGAAAGGGAUUAGAUACCCCUGUAGUC